GAGUUUGAUCUUGGCUCAGGGUUAACGCUGGCGGUGCGCAUAACACAUGCAAGUCGAGCGAGGGCUUAUUUCUCGCAAGAGAGAUGAGUUCCUAGCGGCGAACGGGUGAGUAACACGUGGGCAACCUUUCCUAUCGCGGGGGAUAACACCGGGAAACCGAUGCUAAUACCGCAUGUCGUCACUGAUCGCAUGGUUGGUGAAGAAAGCAGCAAUGCACGAUGGGGUGGGCCCGCGGCCUAUCAGCUAGUCGGUGGGGUAACGGCCUACCGAGGCGAUGACGGGUAGCUGGUCUGAGAGGACGGCCAGCCACACGGGGGACUGAGACACGGCCCCGACUCCUACGGGAGGCAGCAGUGAGGAAUCUUCCGCAAUGGGCGAAAGCCUGACGGAGCGACACCGCGUGUGGGAUGAAGUCUUUCGGGAUGUAAACCACUGUCGGAGGGGAAGACAAAAAAGACGGUACCCUCCAAGAAAGACCCGGCUAACUACGUGCCA
rnacentral:rRNA from 1 species